ACAUGCAAGUCGAACGAGAAAGUGGAGCGAUCCAUGAGUAAAGUGGCGACCGGGUGAGUAACACGUGACUAACCUACCUCCGAGUGGGGAAUAACUCCGGGAAACCGGGGCUAAUACCGCAUAACAUCGCAAGAUCAAAGCAGCAAUGCGCUUGGAGAGGGGGUCGCGGCUGAUUAGCUCGUUGGCGGGGUAACGGCCCACCAAGGCGAAGAUCGGUAUCCGGCCUGAGAGGGCGCACGGACACACUGGAACUGAAACACGGUCCAGACUCCUACGGGAGGCAGCAGUGGGGAAUUUUGCGCAAUGGGGGAAACCCUGACGCAGCAACGCCGCGUGGAGGAUGAAGCCCUUUGGGGCGUAAACUCCUUUCGACUCGGACGAUAAUGACGGUACGAGUGGAAGAAGCACCGGCUAACUCUGUGCCAGCAGCCGCGGUAAUACAGAGGGUGCGAGCGUUGUUCGGAAUUAUUGGGCGUAAAGGGCGCGUAGGCGGUGCGGUAAGUCACCUGUGAAAUCUCCUGGCUUAACUGGGAGUCUGCAGGCGAAACUACCGUGCUG
rnacentral:rRNA from 1 species